AGGCAGGACCGGAGCCAGGCCGGUGUCCCCGCGCCGCCCUGGGAGGCAGGGAAGGCCCCGCCGUGCGCCCCACGCUCCAGGCGCCUCCGAGGCUCCCGGUCCGUGGCCGCUGCGGCCUUGAACACUUGCCUUUUCCCUUCCGGAGCCGAGGUGGCUUCGCCCCUCACUUCCUCCCUUCAGUCCUGCGUCUCGCUGCACUCAGCCGUCCGUGCUCGUGUCUCUGCUCGUGUGACUUACUGCGAGCUUGUAGUCUCCAGUCAGGCACCCGCUUCCCUGUCCGGAGCUCCUCCUGCACCUCAGGGGCCUGGACAGCCGGCCAGGAAGGAGAGGACGCGCGUGGCCACUCUCGGGGUGAACGAUCUGAGGCCCCCACUGGGUCCGGCCCCAGGAGCCCUGCUCUGGCCCUGCUCAGCCGGCGGGUCCUGCCAUUCUGAGGGUCAUUGACGUCCAGAGAACUCCUCCUUGGAGACUAAAGUCACCUGAUGACUGCGCAUUUGGUACGGGUGUCGCCGCAGACACCGUAUAGACCCCGUCAUGAACCGGUGUUCUUCCCGGAACACCUGUACCUACCGGAAAUCGUCCCACACCUUCUGAGGCCCGUUGAUGACUUGGAAAGUAUUGGAAGGCUUGGAUAAACAAUUUGUGCUGGAAUUCUUCGAUCUGGUCACACAGGCUCAGGGACCUGGAUCCCAUUCACGUUCACAGCAGCACCCAGAAGGACGCUCGAGUCGCUGACGACAGGAGCGCAGCCUGCCUGACGACCGAAGGGACCAGCCCAGCCUGCCCCUCCCCCACUUGGACCCUCCGCGUCUCCUUCACCCACAGUUACUCUCCAAGUGUCAGACCUGACGCAGCUGUCGCAGGUGCUCCCCCCUCCUCCAGGAGCGGAUGGUAAGUCCUGGCGUGAUGUUUACUCUUCUGCUGACACCCCGUGUUUACACUGUGACAGGCAGUGAGCUACGAUCCGCUCGUCUGUGUCCCACGAUGAAAGAGGAGGCAAGGAAGAAACAGAAAUAUCGGGUCAAUACACACACACACACAUUCAUAACAAUGAGAACAGUACUCACGAUCUGGUCAAUAUACACACACACACAUUCAUAACAACGAGAACAGUACUCACGAUGAUGACAGUCCUCUCCUGCAGCCGGUCUCAAGCCGGGGCUGGCGUGGGCAGCUGCCGUCUCCCGCUAGCCACGCCCGGUCCCUUCACUCCCAGCGAGCCCUCAGCUGGGGUCAUUCCUGAAGGGGCUUGGCCAUUCCUGGUCCUCCUUGAACUGAGUUGCUGUGGCUUUCCGCCCAUCUGAAGGGAUCAGUUCAGGGCUUGGUAGUCCCAAGAGACACCCUUAGGGAUCUCCCGGAUCCAGACACAUCCCUCCUCCCCGCCAUUGUGGAGUAGCGGCUCAACGUCCCCUUGGCGGUCGGGGUCACUCACCCCCUCCAGCACAGGAAGCCCAUCUGUGCUGGUGGAGUCAAGGCGGGAGGGGCUCACAGCGGCCGGCUGGAGGCCUGAACUUGAGCUUGGUGAAAGCCACAUCUCCUGGGGAAGCGUUUCUCCCUCUGGUGCAAAGACCUCUAGACUAGUAAGCCUUCACAUGGUGGGGACGGGAAACAAACAUUUUGCAGUGGGUCGCUAGGGUGUGAAAUAGGGCAAUUGCCUCUUUUUCUGGCUGUUGAUGAAGAUAAACACGUUUGAACUUUUCUUUUGAAGGCAAGAAGCAGAUGGGGUUUACUAAAAAAAGGAAAUAUGUAGGCAUUCCAAAGCCAAAUCAAGUCCCCAGAGUCCUUUGGAUGCCUGCUUUCCUCCUCCUGCACUGAGCAGUGAGAGCGGCUCCCCUCCUGUUUCCAGCCUCACACACACAGUGCUCAGAUCCACGCAGCGGCGUGCCUGGGUCCUAACGGGGUAAUUUACAUUUCACUCACUUAAUUGUUCAUUCACUUAUUCACUUACUCAUUCACCCGUGCAUUCUUACUCAUUCACUUACUCAAUAAAUAUUUAAAAUCAAACAAUGUGCCCAGCUUGGUUCGGUGCAGGGCACGCUCCUCUGAGGAUGAUGUAAAUCUUUUUGCCCUCAGGGCGUUUACAAGCAAGUGCAUCUCAAGAAAGUGAGCUCCUGACCCUUAGGCUGUACAGGGAAAGGACUAGACACUUCGAUGUCCACCUUCACUUAGCGGCGCCUCGAUUCCCUUCUGUGCGGCAGACAAUGCGGUCACCAGCGGAGGGUGCGCCAGGGCCUGGUGAUGGCAGGAUUUCUCUGGAGAUGCGCAUCAGCCUUUCUCCUUAAGGAACGUGACAAGAGCUUUAGAUUUGAAGUUUCCCAAAACUUCUCUUGGAUCCUUGAGAACCAGAAUGACACAUUUUUACUGGGAAUAAAGAAAAUACGUUAACAAAGAAGAGAGAGAAACCAUAUGAUCUCACAGAUGUGGAAAAGCACUUGACAAACUUCAUGAUAAAAAUGUUUGGCCGUCUUGGAAUAGGAGGGAAUGUCCUCAAGUUGAUAAAGAGAAUGGAUGAAAGAUCUAUAACAAACAUCCUAUGUAUUGUACAAUAAUAAUUAUUCUCUUGAGAUCAGGAGCAAGGAUGUCCUUACCACUUCCUUUCAACAUUUUGUUAAAGGUUUCAGAUAGAUCAAGAAGGCAACAAACAGCAAAAUGACAUGAAGAGAGAAGGAAAGGAAACUUGUUCGCAAAUGACACUGACGGCACAAAGGGAAAAACCUACCAAGUAUACAAAAAACAUUUCAAGAAUAGAUGCAGUUAGAAAGUCACAGGAUAUCAGGUGAAUAGUGAGAAUCAGUUGAAUUUCCUUAAAUUUACAGUGAACGAUCGGAAAAAUAAGACAAAAAAUCCUACUAAUGAAAAUAGCGUCAAAACCAGUAAAUGUCUAGGGAUAAAUCUAGUGGGAUAUAUGUAAGACCUUCCCACUGAAGAAUAGGACACAUUGCUGGUAGACAUGAAAGACGUCUAAAGGAGAGAUGUGCCACGUUCAUGGGUCGGGAUACUCAAUAUUGUUAGGAUGUUAAUUUCCCCAGAUUGAUAUAGAUUCAAUGCAAUCUUUAUCAAUACGUCAGCAGAGUUUUUUGAAAUGUAGAACUUAGCAACACGUUUCUAAAUGUUAUUUGAAGACUCUAGGACCUAGAAUAGUCCCAACAUUUUUGACAAAGAAUGCAGCUGGAGAUUUACACUGCCUGAAUCGUGGUCACUGUAAAGUAAUGGUUAUCAGGACAGUUUGGUAUUGGCAAAAAGGUGGACAGGUAGAUCAUGUGGCAAAAUAAAGUCCAGAAAUAAAUCCAUACACUAUAAGGUGGAUUGAUUUUCAACUAGGGCCAAGUUAAUCAAACAGAGACGGCAAAAUCCCUUUAAACAAAUGUAGUUGUUGGAACAACUACCUAUCUGUAUGGAAAUAAAAAAGAACCUUGAACUCUUUCUUUCUGUCUACAAAUAAAUUAGUUUAAAUGGAGCACAGAUCUAAAUAUAAGUUUUGGAACCAUAAGGCUUCUUCUAGAGGGAAAUCCAGGAGAAAAUCCACAUGAUUCUGAGGAAAGCUAAGAUUUCUUGCACAAGAUGCUAAAAGCACUAACUGGAAAGAAAAACAUGGCAAACUGAACUUCAUGAAAAUUAAAAUUUUCUGUUAAUCAAAAUAUACCUUUAAGAACAAGAAUGCGCAAGUCAUAAACUAGGAGAAAUACUUGGAACACAUAUAGCCGACAAAGAGCUUGUGUCCAGAAUAUAUAAAGUUCUCCCCAUGAAUCAAUAAUAAUAGAUGAAUAAACCAAUGUAAGAGGAGCACAGGCUUGAACAAUGCACGUCAGCAGUGAGCAGGGAAAGUGCCCAACAUUCUGAAUCCUCACCGAGAGUCAAAUCUAACACGAUGGAACGCGUUUCCCGCCAGCGGUCAGAGUGGUGAAGCGUGGCCGUGAGUUGGGAGAGCCACGUUGAAAUCCCUGUGCAGUUUCCACAGGAGUUGAACCCAUUACUCCUGGGAUCUGGGUAUUUACCCUGGUGAAUGAGAAUAUGGGUCUAUCGGAAGACUUUGCUGGGAGGGCACAACCUCUCAAACUGGAACCGAGGGUCCCGUAACUGUUCGCAUACCGACGCUACCCGCGGUGACGACACAGGUCACAGCACCAGCGCUUCUCGAACACGGCGGCAGGGAAGCCACGUGUGGACUGCGCCCUGCUGAUUGCACGUCCACCAAGUCUGGGACGGGCAGCAGCAGUCUACAGGGACAGGGUUGGGGCUUCGGCGGGACAGGCACAGACGGGAACUUUCUAGGAGGGCGGGGAGUGUGCUCCCGGUGCUGUGUGGGGUGGCACUGCGGGGGGCACGCAGGCGUGAACACACACCGGACACGUGAGUUCAGUGCUUCACUUAUGUGAAAAGAGAGAACAUGCAUUCGUGUAUGAGCUCCGGCCGCUCCUGGUGCUGAUCCCUCCCCGGCGAGGGGCUCACCCGUCCUGCCCAGGAGAGACCCUGGGCUCAGCCUCGGGAACCUGCGGGUUCUGCUCUCCGUGACUUUGGGCAAGGACUUUGGAACCAGACUUCCCUCCAGUGUUAAUUGGAGUGAGACCCCCCCCCCCUUCACAUUCCACGGGCACGUUUAGAAGCUGUCCUGGGGCACACACAGGGCGCCCGCGGACCCCAAGGUAUGGAGAUGCGGUCCACAUUCCGAAGCACAUCCUGACGGAAGGCCAGACGGACAGUGAAGUCUCCCUCUUGUCUCAGACAGCUUCCAGGCUUCGAGGGGCACAAAAUCCUCGUCGAAGGAAAUGCCCGACAAAAGGGAGCCCCGGAGGGUCCCCGAGCUCUGAGACGGUCCCAGCUGCUGCUGCGGGAGCUUCAAGCCCCUUCGCGAGGCAUAUAUUUUCCCCUAAAAAUUCUGACUAUAUUGUACACACCGCGUCGGCGCUCUUCCAUUUAGCAAACAGCAAAAAUAUCUCAUGCGAUGGAUUACGAUUUUGCAACAAAGAAUUUAACUGUGGCUUGGUUCAUAGAAAGGCAGGGGGAGGGAGCCCGGGUGCCCCCACAGCGAUGGCUUCCAGCGCUCGCCCGCGGGACACUGUGCCCUGCUGAAGGCCGUGGGAUACGGAAGCGAGCAGGGUGGGGGCUCAAAGCAGGGGCCUGCUGAGACACGGCGACGCUGGGUGGGCUCCAGGCCUGCUAGAGCCCUGCCAGGGGCCAAGGAAGCAGAAGCCGGCUCCCCUUCUGUCCCGCUCGGAGGCUGUGCGUGUUGGCGCCUUCCUCAGGGGUCGGUCAGUGUGUGAGGACAGCCGCGGGGCAGGUGACCGGCCACAGGCCGCAAACAGGACAGGAGGUCCCCACAGAGGUUCUCCAGCUGGGGGGGGGAGACGGCCCCCACCGACCGUUUCCGCCCUGCCAGUCUCGCUGCUCAGGGUCCCGUCCUGUAGGAGGCCUGGCGGGAGGCCCAGCCGGCCUCUCCCUGUUUCCAUUGUGAGUGGAGCCCGGUGCCCCACCCAGGACGGGAAGUGCCCCUUUGAGCACACAAUUCUUGGGACAGCAGGGGCACAGGAGGCCGCGGUAGCCGUGGGCGGGAUCGUGGGGGCCCGGCUGGGCGGCACACAGCGCGCGAGACCGUGGGGACAGGGUCGGGCGGCAGGAUCCCAUCGGGCUGGGGCUGCAGGCCGGGGUCAGUCGCGGGGCUGCUGGGAAGAUGGCGGGCCCUGCCGGGCAGGGCAGCUCCCCGCACCCUGUGCCUCCCUCUCUCCAGACAGUCCCCUGACCAUUCCAGGGAGCACGCACAUGCUGGACGGGGACGGCCGCCUGGUUGUUUGUCUCUUCCUGGCCGUCACUCGGUGCACUGGCAGCUCUCCACGCGCGCUUGAGCGUCAGACUCAGGGCUGGUCCUCGGGAACCCCCGGGAAGGCCCGAGCGGAGGCAGGGCUCAGGCUCCCAUCCCAGCUGGCCUCUGGGAACCCCUGGCGUGUACCAGGGUCUGGGGCACGUCCCUGCGGCAAGGCUCUGAGCCCCGCCCUGGGAUCAUGGGAGCGCUCCAGGCUGCGUUUCCUCGUCCGUAACAUGGGACACAUGAUGUCGGCCGGCCUCGCCCGCACUUGCCCCCCGUGGAGAAGGCUGGAGGGGCCUGGAGGACAGCGGGUGUCACUGACCGGGGACCAGGCCCUCCUGUGCCCAAGGAUGCAUGCCUCCCCACGACCUGAAACUUGCUCUUAGCUCCAGCUAAGGGAGAAAUUUCUCUUCCCCAUCGGUGUGUGCCAGGUGGUGAGCACAGUGACCAGUUCACAACAGGCACUUUCU